UUGUUGAUAAAGCACUAUCUUUUGAAGAAAAUUCUAGCGAGUCUUCAAGCAACAGAUGAAGAAGAAUCUUGAAAGCAUGAUGGAAGCUUAUAUGAAGAAGAGUAUUCUGCAGUUUGCACAUCAUGUUGUCAGUGUUUUACUUUAUGGCUUUUGUGAAGCAUGUAUGUUUUGUUUGUAGUGUUGUAUGGAUUAUUUGAAGCAUGUAUGCUUUGUUUCAA
rnacentral:lncRNA from 1 species